AACCCUCUGGAAUGAUCUUAUUUCUUGC
rnacentral:sRNA from 1 species